UACAGAGGAUGCAAGCGUUAUCCGGAAUGAUUGGGCGUAAAGCGUCUGUAGGUGGCUUUUUAAGUCCGCCGUCAAAUCCCAGGGCUCGACUCUGGACAGGCGGUGGAAACUACCAAGCUGGAGUACGGUAGGGGCAGAGGGAAUUUCCGGUGGAGCGGUGAAAUGCGUAGAGAUCGGGAGGAACACCCGUGGCGAAGGCGAUGGCCUGGACCUCGAGCUGACGCUGAGGCGCGAAAGCGUGGGGAGCGAUCCGG
rnacentral:rRNA from 1 species